CCCACUCUCAGGUGGAUGGUUGCUCUUCAGCAUUUGGCCAAGGUCAGACAGCUCCUCCAGCAAUCAGUGGAACUAUUAAUUAACCUGAGGGCAGUUCCUGGCCUGUUUCGAGCACAGCAGCAUCCAUGAAGGGGGUAGGGAACGAGCUGGUUGGAGGCUGAUGAAGAUCUGGGCUUGCAUUCCAGCAAAGAUGUCCACAAAGGAAAAUGGAGAUCAAGCACAUCCAUGCAAAGGGCGGCUGGUUGGGAUCGCAUCCUUUCAGCAGCACACUCACCGACGAGCAGAUUUCAAGUCAACCAUGAAUGGUACAAGCUUGGUCAAGGACUCCAGGCAUCGGCUGGUAGGUUCUGUAAGGCCUGGGGGCAGGAGCACUGUGGCUUCCCAGGAAUGUCACUGGCAAACAGUCACCAGCAGACCCCAGCACACACAGGUAAGCCGAUGGGAUUGCUGUGAACUGUCUCAUCUGUUGUACAAGUGUCAAAAUAAUUGCCGUGUCAGAUAAACUUUUGCUUUUUAUUAAAAAACAAACCCCACCAAACUUAUAAGGUAAUUGAUUGCUUUCUUCUAGUCUUUUAUUAGUUGUGAUUAAGGAGCUAUAGUAGUCCUGUUUACACAGCUCUAACAAGUCAGGACCUGCAGUACGUUAUUGGCUUGCGGCCCACAACUUGCCGUCCAUUCUCAACAGAAUCAAUCUGAAGUUGAAAACAUCCCCCGUAGGAAGCGUACACAUCCCUGCUCACACAGGAACAGAAACAGUAAUAACUUCAGGUCCUGUAAGUUGCAAGUUCAACUUACAGAGAUCAGCCCUGACUUGUCAUUGCUCUCAGCAUGUUCGUGAUGAGAUCAGAGCACUUCACAAAGGACUCAUACUUCCAGCUUGACAAGGGACAUAGGUGAGCGUGUAACACUCCACUGUUACUCACCCCUCACUGCAGAAAUGAAUCGAGAGCUCCUCGCUGUUUAACAUGCAGUCAAAGCACUGCCAAUCUAAAAUGGCUGAUCAGUAAUACUUUAAUUGCAGUUUCAUAGAAACAAAUUGCUAUUUAAUUGCAAUAAGCUUGUCUGUGGCUUAGCUGGACUGACAAUAGGCAUCCACCUGGUAGUAAUAGUAACGAGCAGCAACAAGGGUUAUCUGGU